rnacentral:tRNA from 1 species
CGGGGUAUGGUCCAAAGGCAAAGACUCUCGUCUGAUACGCGAGCAAUCCUGGUUCGAGUCCAGGUGCCCCGA